GGGGAAACUUGUGCUAAUACCGGAUAAGUCCUAACGGAGAAAGAUUUAUCGCCGAAAGAUGAGCCCGCACUAGAUUAGCUUGUUGGUAAGGUAAAAGCUUACCAAGGCUACGAUCUAUAGCUGAUUUGAGAGGAUGAUCAGCCACACUGGGACUGAGACACGGCCCAGACUCCUACGGGAGGCAGCAGUGGGGAAUCUUGCACAAUGGAGGAAACUCUGAUGCAGCGAUGCCGCGUGAGUGAAGAAGGCCCUUGGGUUGUAAAGCUCUUUUGUCGGGAAAGAUAAUGACUGUACCCGAAGAAUAAGGUCCGGCUAACUUCGUGCCAGCAGCCGCGGUAAUACGAAGGGACCUAGCGUAAUUCGGAAUUACUGGGCGUAAAGCGCGCGUAGGCGGUUAAGUAAGUUAAUUGUGAAAGCCCAAAGCUCAACUUUGGAAUUGCAAUUAAAACUACUUAGCUAGAGUUUAUCAGAGGAAAGCGGAAUACAUAGUGUAGAGGUGAAAUUCGUAGAUAUUAUGUAGAACACCAGUUGCGAAGGCGGC
rnacentral:rRNA from 1 species